rnacentral:rRNA from 1 species
AACGAACGCUGGCGGCGUGCUUAACACAUGCAAGUCGAACGCACCGCAAGGUGAGUGGCGCACGGGUGAGUAACGCGUGGGAAUCUACCUUUUGGUUCGGAAUAACACAGGGAAACUGGUGCUAAAACCGGAUACGCCCUUCGGGGGAAAAAUUUAUUGCCAAAAGAUGAGCCCGCGUUGGAUUAGCUAGUUGGUGAGGUAAUGGCUCACCAAGGCGACGAUCCAUAGCUGGUCUGAGAGGAUGAUCAGCCACACUGGGACUGAGACACGGCCCAGACUCCAACGGGAGGCAGCAGUGGGGAAUAUUGGACAAUGGGGGAAACCCUGAUCCAGCAACGCCGCGUGAGUGAUGAAGGUCUUCGGAUUGUAAAGCUCUUUUUGCAGGGACGAUGAUGACGGUACCUGCAGAAUAAGCUCCGGCUAACUUCGUGCCAGCCGCCGCAGUAACAC